GCAUCCUGGGGCUGGAGUAGGUCCCAAGGGUUGGGCUGUUCGCCCAUUAAAGCGGUACGCGAGCUGGGUUUAGAACGUCGUGAGACAGUUCGGUCCCUAUCCGCUGCGCGCGUUGGAAAUUUGAGAAGAUCUAUCCCUAGUACGAGAGGACCGGGAUGGACGAACCUCUGGUGUGUCAGUUGUUCUGCCAAGGGCACCGCUGAUUAGCUACGUUCGGACCGGAUAACCGCUGAAAGCAUCUAAGCGGGAAGCCGUCUUCGAGAUGAGAUUUCCAUGCACCUUGAGUGUGAGAGGCUCCCAGCAGACUACUGGGUUGAUAGGCCGGAUGUGGAAGCGGGGACUAACGACCCGUGGAGCUGACCGGUACUAAUAAGCCGAAGACUUGACACCAA
rnacentral:rRNA from 1 species